UCCGGGGGAAGUAUGGUUGCAAAGCUGGAACUUAAAGGAAUUGACGGAAGGGCACCACCAGGAGUGGAGCCUGUGGCUUAAUUUGACUCAACACGGGGAAACUUACCAGGUCAGGACACUGGAAGGAUUGACAGAUUGAGAGCUCUUUCUCGAUUCGGUGGAUGGUGGUGCAUGGCCGUUCUUAGUUGGUGGAGUGAUUUGUCUGGUUAAUUCCGAUAACGAACGAGACUCUGGCCUGCUAAAUAAGGCGGCGGGUCCCCAACCCCAUCCGGCGCUGCGUCUUGGGCUUCGGCUCCUGGCGUUUGUGUCGGAGGGGGCCGCCCGCAAUGAAGUAAUCUUCUUAGAGGGACAAGGCAGCUUCAAGCUGCGUGAAAUGGGGCAAUAACAGGUCUGUGAUGCCCUUAGAUGUUCUGGGCCGCACACGCGCGACAAUUGCUCGGGCAGCGUGUUAGCAAGGCCGCCGUCCUUCGGGGCGCGCGGCGUGAGUCCUGGCCCGAAACGGGUCGGGUAACCCUGUCAAUCCGAACGGUGCUGGGGAUUGAGGUUUGCAAUUCUCCUUCAUGAACGAGGAAUUCCCAGUAGGUGCGAGUCAUCAGCUCGCGCCGACUACGUCCCUGCCCUUUGUA
rnacentral:rRNA from 1 species